rnacentral:rRNA from 1 species
ACGCUCGACACCUACGGGAGGCAGCAGUGGGGAAUAUUGCACAAUGGGGGAAACCCUGAUGCAGCGACGCCGCGUGAGUGAAGAAGUAUUUCGGUAUGUAAAGCUCUAUCAGCAGGGAAGAAGAUGACGGUACCUGAGUAAGAAGCCCCGGCUAACUACGUGCCAACAGCCGCGGUAAUCUGAGCGGGCUGGCAAGGC